rnacentral:rRNA from 1 species
UACGUAGGGUGCAAGCGUUAAUCGGAAUUACUGGGCGUAAAGCGUGCGCAGGCGGUUCUAUAAGACAGAUGUGAAAUCCCCGGGCUCAACCUGGGAACUGCAUUUGUGACUGUAGAGCUGGAGUACGGUAGAGGGGGAUGGAAUUCCGCGUGUAGCAGUGAAAUGCGUAGAUAUGCGGAGGAACACCGAUGGCGAAGGCAAUCCUCUGGACCUGUACUGACGCUCAUGCACGAAAGCGUGGGGAGCAAACAGG